rnacentral:rRNA from 1 species
UACGGAGGGGGCGAGCGUUAUUCGGAAUUAUUGGGCGUAAAGAGCUCGUAGGCGGUGUGUCGCGUCGGCCGUGAAAACCUGCAGCUCAACUGUGGGCUUGCGGUCGAUACGGGCAUCACUGGAGUUCGGCAGGGGAGACUGGAAUUCCUGGUGUAGCGGUGAAAUGCGCAGAUAUCAGGAGGAACACCGGUGGCGAAGGCGGGUCUCUGGGCCGAUACUGACGCUGAGGAGCGAAAGCGUGGGGAGCAAACAGG